UGGGGAAUAUUCCGCAAUGGGCGCAAGCCUGACGGAGCAACGCCGCGUGUGUGAUGAAGGUUCUUGGAUUGUAAAACACUGUUGUCGGGGAAGAACGACCUUGACUCUAACAUAGUCAAGGAGUGACGGUACCCGACGAGGAAGCCCCGGCUAACUCCGUGCCAGCAGCCGCGGUAAUACGGGGGGGGCAAGCGUUGUUCGGAAUCACUGGGCGUAAAGGGCGUGUAGGCGGUUAUGUAAGUCAGACGCGAAAUCCCUUGGCUCAACCAAGGAACUGCGUUUGAAACUAGAUGACUUGAGUUCAGGAGAGGAAAGUGGAAUUCCAAGUGUAGCGGUGAAAUGCGUAGAUAUUUGGAAGAACACCAGUGGCGAAGGCGGCUUUCUGGCCUGAAACUGACGCUGAGGCGCGAAAGCUGGGGAGCAAACAGGAUUAGAUACCCUGGUAGUCCACGCCGUAAACGAUGAGUGCUAGCCGUUGGGGGGCAUAGCCCUUCAGUGGCGCAGCUAACGCAUUAAGCACUCCGCCCGGGGAGUACGGUCGCAAGAUUA
rnacentral:rRNA from 1 species